ACUGGGAAAUGUUUUCGGGCUUACAUACCGUGUCCAAUUCCUCUCCUCUCAGACUUCCCGUAUGCCGGCUGCUAAGAAGGCCCUCGCCAUCCGGUAUGCUGCCAUCCGAGAGGACACCAAUGCAGAACUGAGAGUGGAGACCAGAGCGAACCUGGAGGUGCAUCUGCGAAAUCUGGAGGCGUAAGGGGUAUCGAGCCCCCAUGAUAUCCUAGAAGAGCCAGAAGAAGUUGUGGAAACUCCAAAGAAGAAAAAUAUUUAAGAAGAACCAUUGGACCCAUAUGAGGAAGAGCCUUCAACAAGCACAGCUGAGCCUUCCAAGAAGAAGAAGAUAGAGAAGAUUAAUCAGGAUGAAGAGGAGGACUGAGCACUUUUGCUUUAUGAACUGAUGACCCUUUUGCUUGGUUUUCCAGCACUUUUCCAUAUGUGUGGAAAGGUGCCUUUAUAUUAGGUGUAUGACAUUCUGUCCAUAUCCAGAAAGCAGAAAAUUCUGUUUUUUUUUUUCUUUAUAUAUCUUUGCUGAAUUAAUUGAUUUUUGUAA